rnacentral:rRNA from 1 species
AUUGAACGCUGGCGGCAGGCUUAACACAUGCAAGUCGGGCGGAAACGAAGAUAGCUUGCUAUCAGGCGUCGAGCGGCGGACGGGUGAGUAACGCGUAGGAAUCUACCUAAUGGUGGGGGAUAGCCCGGGGAAACUCGGAUUAAUGCCGCAUACACUCUACGGAGGAAAGCAGGGGCUCUUAGGACCUUGCGCCAAUAGAUGAGCCUGCGUGAGAUUAGCUAGUUGGUGAGGUAAUGGCUCACCAAGGCGACGAUCUCUAGCUGGUCUGAGAGGAUGAUCAGCCACACUGGGACUGAGACACGGCCCAGACUCCUACGGGAGGCAGCAGUGGGGAAUAUUGGACAAUGGGGGCAACCCUGAUCCAGCCAUGCCGCGUGUGUGAAGAAGGCCUUCNGGUUGUAAAGCACUUUCAGCGAGGAGGAAGGCUGUAUGGCUAAUACCCAUACAGAUUGACGUUACUCGCAGAAGAAAGACCGGCUAACUCCGUGCC